rnacentral:tRNA from 1 species
GUCUCCGUAGCUCAGCUGGUUAGAGCAUCUGACUGUUAAUCAGAGGGUCGUUGGUUCGAGUCCAACCGGGGCCGCCA